rnacentral:tRNA from 1 species
UAGGAUGGCUGAAACAGCGGUGGAUUGUAGCUCCAUGAAUAGAGGUUUGAGUCCUCUUUCUAC